UCUGUGAGUUAUUAAUACACGUCUCACUGUUGCGUUCUUUUUCCCCAGACUUACGUUUCAACCUCGUAAUGUACAAAUUGAUUAUGAUUUGACCAGAAAAUUUGGCUUCAGGCAUGCUUGGAGUAUCUGGUGCUCUUGUAUUUUUUAAAUUUAUUUUUAUAUUUUUACAAAUAGACUCUUGACCCUGUCACGUUUUAUCUGCAAACAUAAUUUAUGUACUUUCAUCAGUGCGGCCAGUAAGUUUGCGCAGCUCCAGUGCCUGUGGAAGACGAGGGACUCGGGAGCCGUGAGCGCGCUGACCUGGAGCCUCUCCGCCUACACCUGCGCAGCAAGAAUAGUCACAACCUUAAUGACCACCAAUGACUUUACAAUUCGUACACGUUUCGUGAUCAUGCUGGCUUUAAAUAUAUGGGUAACAGCUACAGUACUUCGCUACUGCAAGACCGUUAUAAAGGCUGAAUGAUGGGUUUAUUAUUCCUGCCCACAAGUGGAUUUUUGAAUCACUGAACCAAAGGAAAGAAGCUCCUUGCUAAAUCAAGGUCUUAUAUAAAUUUAGUCAAUCGUGUCAGAAUCUUUGAAGCCCAAAGUCUUUUUUAGACUUGAAGGAGCCCAGCCACUUAAAUACUUGUUGAAGUGCCAAUUUCCUCCAUGUAUUUUUUAAUUUUCAGAAUCUUUUAAGAAAUAAAUCCUUCAUGAUAUUAAAAAAAAAAAAAAAAGAAAAAACAAAUCCUCCCCAUCAGUGGCAGUGAGUGGAGUGGGAUUGUGCUGAAAGUCAGAAGCAGAACUGUAUAGAUUACUAGGGUUCACUUCCUGGGACUAAAGUUUAAUUGUAACAUAGACAUAACAGGACAGCCUUGUUUGUAUGUCAUAAUACGGUACAACACCUGGUCACGCUCUAGCAAGGACAGCAAAGGAAGCACAAAAUAUAAUCGGCUUGAGUCUGUAUACCAAAAUAGUCCUUUCACUUACCAUUGUGCCUUAAGCAAUUCCUAACAAAAGGUAUUUACUGUUAGCUGCAAUCUCUACUUAUGAAGAGGAAAUCCUAAGAAAGUUUUUGAUUCAAGCACAAUGCAGCCUUUAAAAAAUGGCCACACCUAUGCAGUUACCAUUAUUGGGACCUGGUAUAAAAUACCAGGUUUUGUCUAUUGAAAAUAUAUAAAGUCUACUGCUAGGUUCUGCCCAAUUCUUAUAGAUUUUAUUCUCAUUAUAGUGUCUUAUACUUAACAUGUUAGGAUUACGUGUGUACUGUAUUUUCCUCUUAAAUAUUAACCCAAACAUUUAAAAAUCUACUUUCUAUCAAGGCACACUGGCUCAUGUCUGUAUUCCCAGCACUCAGGGAGGUCAACGUGGAGGACCACUUUUUACAUUUUUUUUGACUUU